UUUUCAGGUAGAGAAGAGGGUGAAUGAUUUAUUGCUGCCAGAGUUGUGGCACUUGCAGUGAGGAAAUAAUUUUCACUCCGUGUUCUCAGCAGUUUAUAUCAGCAGAAAUGAAAACAUCCAUGGAUCAUCUUCACACUACUUGAACCAUCUUUAGAUGAGGAAAAAGAUUGAAAUAAGAACAGGAAACACCUCAAGAAUUAGACAGUGUACUGCCAUGCUCCAGCGUUAAUAAUGCAGCAACAACAAUCAGGUUCAUUCUUCAUAUCCUUACCCUCAACAAAAACCACAGAAAUUCUUCUAAUCAGUCACAUAGAAUACUGGCAUCCAAAAUAAAAAUCAUGGCAAGAAAGUAUAAGAGUACUCAGCUAAGUUCAGAGACAGCUUACUCUAACA